UUGAGUCACAUUUUUGCAUGGUUCUUGAUUGACUUUCUGGUGCUCUGCCUGGAGGUCUUUGCUUAUCUGUGAGUUGCCUGAGUCACAUUUUUACAUGGUUCUGGUGCUCUGCCUGCAGGUCAAGAAGGAGCCAGUAUCUCCAGGAGGAGUGAGAGAGUGCUCUGCCAGUGUGAAGUGUAAAUCCUUGAGAGGCUAUGGCAAGGGUCCAUGCCUGAAUGUGUAGAGCAAGAACAGCUGGAGGCUGUGGCUUUCUCCAGGAAGAGGUUUCUAAAUUUGCCUCUCAGAAGAUAUCAGAAAGUUAAAGUUUCUCUUGCUGCCACCAUGUAAGAAAGACCUUUUUACCUCCCACCAUGAUUCUAAGGCCUCCCCAGCCACAUGGAACUGCUUUCAUUUGAUCUCUUUUUGAAUCAGAAGACCCAGAAAACUUGGAUCCACUUCUGGCUCUGAUCCCUCUGGGCAGUGUGAUUUGGAGUACUGCUUUGCAGUCUGGCAGCUUUCCUACUGCACUCCGAGGACAAGCUGAAUGCCUCGCUUGGAUCUACGAGGCCUACGUGGGAAUCCCGCUUCCACUGGCUUCAUUCCCUACUAGGCAUCCACCCCACUCCACGAGGCCGCUAUCCCUGACUUCUUCCAACACAUCAGGCCUUCCUCAGGGAACUUGCCUAUGCCUGUUCUUCUUCUUUUUUCUUUCUAUACGGCAUCUCACUCUGUCGCCCAGGCUGGAGUGCAGUGGUGCGAUCUCGGCUCACUGCAAGCUCCGCCUCCUGGGUUCACACCAUUCUCCUGCCUCAGCCUCCCGAGUAGCUGGGACUACAGGCACCCACCACCCCGCCCGGCUAAUUUUUUGUGUUUUUAGUAGAGACAGGGUUUCACCGUGUUAGCCAGGAUGGUCUCGAUCUCCUGACCUCGUGAUCCGCCCGCCUCUGCCUCCCAAGCCUGUUCUUCUUAAGUAUCUGCCUAGGCUAAGUGUGGUGGCUCACGCCUGUAAUUGCAGCACUUUGGGAGGCCCAGGCGGGUGGAUCACUUGAGGCCAGGAAUUCGAGACCAGCCUGGCAAACAUGGCGAGACCCUGUCUCUAUUAAGAAUACAAAAAUUAAUCAGGUGUGGUGGUGCAUGCCUGUAGCUCCAGUUGCUCGGGAGGCUGAGGCACGAGAAUUGUUUGAACCCAGGAGGCAGAGGUUUCAAUAA